rnacentral:lncRNA from 1 species
UCACUUUUUACAACACAUAUUAGUAUUUGACUCAGUGAAGUUUGUUAGUGAUAUGAAGGAUGGAUGGAAAUCUUGGUUCGCUGCCGAUACUGAUUGGAGGCCGGAUCGAUACUGUACUGGUACAGGUUGGUGUGUUGAAACAGGUCAGUACUGAUAGCUACCAAGCCAGACGAUAGAGAAAGUGAGAGACAAAAGACGGGAGGAGGCAGCAACACUGGCAGGCUGCAGCGGACAUGGAUGACAACAAGGAGGAAAUUACAUGGAGGAGGAGGCAAAGGAGUAGCUGUAGCAGUAGGAGGAUAAGCUGGAAGUGGUGGUGGAGUAGGAGAAGAAGAACAUGAGGCGGAGGUGGCAAAGAAGGAGGAGAGAGAAGAAAAUAAAAGAAAAUGCAGUUAUUAAGAGUUGUUAAUAAAUUCUAAGAAAAAAGAAGAUUUGAAACCAGUAUGUCUUACUGCC